rnacentral:rRNA from 1 species
CGUGGGUAACCUGCCCAAGAGAUCGGGAUAACACCUGGAAACAGAUGCUAAUACCGGAUAACAACAGAUGAUGCCUAUCAACUGUUUAAAAGAUGGUUCUGCUAUCACUCUUGGAUGGACCUGCGGUGCAUUAGCUAGUUGGUAGGGUAACGGCCUACCAAGGCGAUGAUGCAUAACCGAGUUGAGAGACUGAUCGGCCACAUUGGGACUGAGACACGGCCCAAACUCCUACGGGAGGCAGCAGC